AGAGUUUGAUCCUGGCUCAGGAUGAACGCUGGCGGCGUGCCUAAUACAUGCAAGUCGAGCGAACGGACGAGAAGCUUGCUUCUCUGAUGUUAGCGGCGGACGGGUGAGUAACACGUGGAUAACCUACCUAUAAGACUGGGAUAACUUCGGGAAACCGGAGCUAAUACCGGAUAAUAUUUUGAACCGCAUGGUUCAAAAGUGAAAGACGGUCUUGCUGUCACUUAUAGAUGGAUCCGCGCUGCAUUAGCUAGUUGGUAAGGUAACGGCUUACCAAGGCAACGAUGCAUAGCCGACCUGAGAGGGUGAUCGGCCACACUGGAACUGAGACACGGUCCAGACUCCUACGGGAGGCAGCAGUAGGGAAUCUUCCGCAAUGGGCGAAAGCCUGACGGAGCAACGCCGCGUGAGUGAUGAAGGUCUUCGGAUCGUAAAACUCUGUUAUUAGGGAAGAACAUAUGUGUAAGUAACUGUGCACAUCUUGACGGUACCUAAUCAGAAAGCCACGGCUAACUACGUGCCAGCAGCCGCGGUAAUACGUAGGUGGCAAGCGUUAUCCGGAAUUAUUGGGCGUAAAGCGCGCGUAGGCGGUUUUUUAAGUCUGAUGUGAAAGCCCACGGCUCAACCGUGGAGGGUCAUUGGAAACUGGAAAACUUGAGUGCAGAAGAGGAAAGUGGAAUUCCAUGUGUAGCGGUGAAAUGCGCAGAGAUAUGGAGGAACACCAGUGGCGAAGGCGACUUUCUGGUCUGUAACUGACGCUGAUGUGCGAAAGCGUGGGGAUCAAACAGGAUUAGAUACCCUGGUAGUCCACGCCGUAAACGAUGAGUGCUAAGUGUUAGGGGGUUUCCGCCCCUUAGUGCUGCAGCUAACGCAUUAAGCACUCCGCCUGGGGAGUACGACCGCAAGGUUGAAACUCAAAGGAAUUGACGGGGACCCGCACAAGCGGUGGAGCAUGUGGUUUAAUUCGAAGCAACGCGAAGAACCUUACCAAAUCUUGACAUCCUUUGACAACUCUAGAGAUAGAGCCUUCCCCUUCGGGGGACAAAGUGACAGGUGGUGCAUGGUUGUCGUCAGCUCGUGUCGUGAGAUGUUGGGUUAAGUCCCGCAACGAGCGCAACCCUUAAGCUUAGUUGCCAUCAUUAAGUUGGGCACUCUAAGUUGACUGCCGGUGACAAACCGGAGGAAGGUGGGGAUGACGUCAAAUCAUCAUGCCCCUUAUGAUUUGGGCUACACACGUGCUACAAUGGACAAUACAAAGGGCAGCGAAACCGCGAGGUCAAGCAAAUCCCAUAAAGUUGUUCUCAGUUCGGAUUGUAGUCUGCAACUCGACUACAUGAAGCUGGAAUCGCUAGUAAUCGUAGAUCAGCAUGCUACGGUGAAUACGUUCCCGGGUCUUGUACANCUGGCGAAAA
rnacentral:rRNA from 1 species